UUAGACACUCCGUCUCUGUUUCCCACGUCCUGACACGCCUUGGGCCGUUUGGUGGGGAAGGCUGCAAAAAGAUCGAUGGGACAGGUGCCCGUUCUCUAUCACGCCCCCCGUGACCCAUGUGUUAGGUGGGGAGGCACCAGGCGCAUUUAAUGCCCCGGCCCGCGUGCGCGCGUUAGGCGGCGGCAACGUCCUUGCGCUCGACGCCUCCCGAUUCGCGGGAGCCGGUUCCGUAUUCGACGUUGACCAGAGCUCGACGCCUGACUGAUUCGCUCGACGCUAUUUCCGUCUUCGAGGCUACGGUCGUCGAUGGUCGUGCGUGUGUGCGGACGGAGCGUCGAAUCGAGGCGCUAGUUUUAUGUACGGAUGGUUUCGUUAUUCGCGUUGGUGAGGGUACCCCUUGUUGAUACCCUCGACAG
rnacentral:lncRNA from 1 species